rnacentral:rRNA from 1 species
CCUACGUGCGGCUGCAGUGGGGAAUAUUGCGCAAUGGGCGAAAGCCUGACGCAGCGACGCCGCGUGAGGGAUGAAGGUCUUCGGAUCGUAAACCUCUGUCAGCAGGGAAGAACGGUCACUGUGCUAAUCAGCAGUGAAUUGACGGUACCUGCAAAGGAAGCACCGGCUAACUCCGUGCCAGCAGCCGCGGUAAUACGGAGGGUGCGAGCGUUAAUCGGAAUUACUGGGCGUAAAGCGCUCGUAGGCGGUAUGUCAAGUCAAGGGUGAAAUCCCCGCGCUAAACGUGGGAACUGCCUUUGAAACUGGCAAACUGGAGUGUGUGAGAGGAUAGUGGAAGUCCAGGUGUAGGAGUGAAAUCCGUAGAUAUCUGGAGGAACAUCAGUGGCGAAGGCGACUAUCUGGCACAUAACUGACGCUGAGGAGCGAAAGCGUGGGUAGCAAACAGGAUUAGAUACCCCAGUAGUC